rnacentral:lncRNA from 1 species
GUUUCUUGGCUGUUUCAAAAGCCAAAAUUAAGUGCACCUUGGGAAGGAGCCAGGCUGCUCAUCUUCAGCACUGAAAGGAGAACAAAGGGCUUCUCUGAAGGGGAAUUGCUGAUUUCCCAUUUAGCUUGGCCAGAAAGACCACUUCAUCAGAUUGCUGAAAGAGGAGCAAGGUACCAUAUUGGAUGGAAGCAGAGAACAUCCCUCACCAAAUAAUCAGCCUUGCUGGUGGCUUCAUUGUGAACUUCUCAGCCCAGAAUGUAUGAAGGUCAUCACCACAUGUGGGCUGAUUGAUCUUGGAUUUCCAAGCCUCCAGAACUAUACAGAAAGGGAUAAGAAGAUGGAUACAAAUUGUGGCCUGUCAUGGUUUGGUGAAAAGAGCCUGCAAUGAACUAGAUGAUUCUACUGAGAAAUUUUCUACUAACUCAAUAAAUAUAAGGAAACUGGAUGAAGAAAGUCAAUGUCCUUCUGAGGCCUGUGCAUCAUCAACUUGUAACAGUGAUAUGGUUUGACUCUGUGUCCCCACCCAAAUCUCACCUUGAAUUGCAGUAAUCCCCUCAUGUCAAGGGUUGGACCGGGUGGAGAUAAUUGAAUCAUGAGACCAGUUUCCCCCAUGCUGUUUUGGUGAUAGUGAGUUGAGUUCUCACAAAAUCUGAUGGUUUUAUAGGAGCUUCCCCCUUUGUUGAGCACUUCUGCUGCCCUGUGAAGAGGUGCCUUUGCCAAUAUUGUAAGUUUCCUGAGGCCACCCCACCCAUGAGGAACUGUGAG